AUACCAGGCAAGGAAAUGAAAUCUGCAUCCCAAGGAAAAGAUCCGUUUCCAAAACUGUUAAUCUUUCCUUAUGACAUACUUUGGAAUACAAAUGUAUCCAGAGGGGGUUUAUUCAACAAUAUGUUGUGUUCAUCUGCUCUUGGUUUUUCUUAUGGCCCCACCCGGUGAUACUUGGAACUCAAACGGAUACAUCCAUUCAUGAAUUAUGUAAUCAUCUUUCACUCCAGUCGGUAGCUGAGCCCUCCAUUUCCUUCUCUCACAAUCUACAUCUAUGCAACCUGGAUGCUGAAGUUCCAGCAAUCACCUUUUACAGAAUCCUGUACCUACUCUUU